UUGUGUAAAGGAGAUCACAACAGUACCAAAUUCAGAAGCUGACAGGGACUUUAAAUAACUUUGUGAAGAGAAGGCACUUAGAACUGUGUCUGACUCAUUAAGAGCCCUAUAUAGUCAUAACCAGCACCCUUGGUGGCAAGAUGUGAAAUUUCUCUGCCAGUAAGAGAGGAUCAUCUUUAACUCUCUUGGUGCCUAUAGAACAGACAAUAGAGAUAACACUUUGCUGGUCUCUUCUACUUCCUUUUUUUGCUAAUUACGUAAAACCUAUUCUGAAAAGCAGGCUCCAUUCCCUGCUCAAAGGCUCCAGUUGGUGGCUGUAAGAAUAUCUCUUCUCAAGUAGCUGCACCAGGUCCUCAUGUUGCUGUGGUCAUUGCUGGUCAUCUUUGCUCCAGUCAGUGAACAGUCAGGCCAGUCUUCUCUCCUGUGUCUCCUCCUAGCCCCACCCACGCGUUGCCCUCACCCUGGCUGACCUUCCAUUGCACGCAAACGCCUGAGAAACAUGGUUUGCCUUCUACUCUUGUUGCUGUUCCGUUAAAAACAUUC